CCUACGGGCGGCAGCAGUGAGGAAUAUUGGUCAAUGGACGAGAGUCUGAACCAGCCAAGUAGCGUGAAGGAUGACUGCCCUAUGGGUUGUAAACUUCUUUUAUAUGGGAAUAAAACGUUCCACGUGUGGGAUUUUGUAUGUACCAUAUGAAUAAGGAUCGGCUAACGCCGUGCCAGCAGCCGCGGUAAUACGGAGGAUCCGAGCGUUAUCCGGAUUUAUUGGGUUUAAAGGGAGCGUAGGUGGAUUGUUAAGUCAGUUGUGAAAGUUUGCGGCUCAACCGUAAAAUUGCAGUUGAAACUGGCAGUCUUGAGUACAGUAGAGGUGGGCGGAAUUCGUGGUGUAGCGGUGAAAUGCUUAGAUAUCACGAAGAACUCCGAUUGCGAAGGCAGUUCACUGGACUGCAACUGACACUGAGGCUCGAAAGUGUGGGUAUCAAACAGGAUUAGAUACCCUUGUAGUC
rnacentral:rRNA from 1 species